rnacentral:rRNA from 1 species
GAUGAACGCUGGCGGCGUGCCUAAUACAUGCAAGUCGAGCGAACAGACGAGGAGCUUGCUCCUCUGACGUUAGCGGUGGACGGGUGAGUAACACGUGGAUAACCUACCUAUAAGACUGGGAUAACUUCGGGAAACCGGAGCUAAUACCGGAUAAUAUAUUGAACCGCAUGGUUCAAUAGUGAAAGACGGUUUUGCUGUCACUUAUAGAUGGAUCCGCGCCGCAUUAGCUAGUUGGUAAGGUAACGGCUUACCAAGGCAACGAUGCGUAGCCGACCUGAGAGGGUGAUCGGCCACACUGGAACUGAGACACGGUCCAGACUCCUACGGGAGGCAGCAGUAGGGAAUCUUCCGCAAUGGGCGAAAGCCUGACGGAGCAACGCCGCGUGAGUGAUGAAGGUCUUCGGAUCGUAAAACUCUGUUAUUAGGGAAGAACAAAUGUGUAAGUAACUAUGCACGUCUUGACGGUACCUAAUCAGCAAGCCACGGCUAACUACGUG